rnacentral:rRNA from 1 species
GACGAACGCUGGCGGCGUGCUUAACACAUGCCAGUCGAACGGAAAGGCCCUGCUUUUGUGGGGUGCUCGAGUGGCGAACGGGUGAGUAACACGUGAGUAACCUGCCCUUGACUUUGGGAUAACUUCAGGAAACUGGGGCUAAUACCGGAUAGGAGCUCGUGCUGCAUGGUGGGGGUUGGAAAGUUUCGGCGGUUGGGGAUGGACUCGCGGCUUAUCAGCUUGUUGGUGGGGUAGUGGCUUACCAAGGCUUUGACGGGUAGCCGGCCUGAGAGGGUGACCGGCCACAUUGGGACUGAGAUACGGCCCAGACUCCUACGGGAGGCAGCAGUGGGGAAUAUUGCACAAUGGGCGGAAGCCUGAUGCAGCAACGCCGCGUGCGGGAUGACGGCCUUCGGGUUGUAAACCGCUUUCGCCUGUGACGAAGCGUGAGUGACGGUAAUGGGUAAAGAAGCACCGGCUAACUACGUG